rnacentral:rRNA from 1 species
UCAGGACGAACGCUGGCGGCGUGCUUAACACAUGCAAGUCGAGCGGUAAGGCCUUUCGGGGUACACGAGCGGCGAACGGGUGAGUAACACGUGGGUGAUCUGCCCUGCACUCUGGGAUAAGCUUGGGAAACUGGGUCUAAUACCGGAUAUGACCGCAUGCCGCAUGGUGUGUGGUGGAAAGAUUUAUCGGUGCAGGAUGGGCCCGCGGCCUAUCAGCUUGUUGGUGGGGUAAUGGCCUACCAAGGCGACGACGGGUAGCCGACCUGAGAGGGUGACCGGCCACACUGGGACUGAGACACGGCCCAGACUCCUACGGGAGGCAGCAGUGGGGAAUAUUGCACAAUGGGCGGAAGCCUGAUGCAGCGACGCCGCGUGAGGGAUGAAGGCCUUCGGGUUGUAAACCUCUUUCAGCAGGGACGAAGCGUGAG